GGGGAAUAUUGGGCAAUGGACGCAAGUCUGACCCAGCAACGCCGCGUGAAGGAAGAAGGCUUUCGGGUUGUAAACUUCUCUUAAGGGGGAAGAGUAGAAGACGGUACCCCUUGAAUAAGCCACGGCUAACUACGUGCCAGCAGCCGCGGUAAUACGUAGGUGGCAAGCGUUGUCCGGAUUUACUGGGUGUAAAGGGUGCGCAGGCGGAUUGAUAAGUCAGGGGUGAAAUCCCACAGCUCAACUGUGGAACUGCCUUUGAUACUGUUAGUCUUGAGUAUAGUUGAAGUGGGCGGAAUGUGUCAUGUAGCGGUGAAAUGCUUAGAUAUGACACAGAACACCGAUCGCGAAGGCAGCUCGCUAAGCUAUAACUGACGCUCAUGCACGGAAGCGUGGGGAUCAAACA
rnacentral:rRNA from 1 species